rnacentral:rRNA from 1 species
GCGAAUAGCUCACUACAACAGCUAUAAUUUACUUGUUCUAUUCCUUUAAACGGAUAACUGCGGUAAUUCUGGAGCCAAUACGUGCUAAAAGCCGAAUUCAGCAAUGAGUUCGGUGCACUUAUCGGAGCAAAACCCUUCCUGGUUUUAUGCUAACUCUGGAUAACACUGCUUAUCGCACGACCUCGUGUCGGCGAAGUAACAUUCAAGUAUCUGCCUUAUCAACUUUCGAUGGUAGUGUAUUGGACUGCCAUGGUGUUGACGGGUAACGGAGAAUCAGGGUUCGACUCCGGAGAGGGAGCCUUAGAAACGGCUACCAUGUCUAAGGACAGCAGCAGGCGCGCAACUUAUCCACUGUUCAUUGAACGAGAUAGUGACGAGAAAUAACAAGUCCGUUCUCUAUGAGGUCGGACAUUGGAAUGGAUGGAAUCUAAACAAUUCCAUGAGUACCCACGAGAGGGCAAGUCUGGUGCCAGCAGCCGCGGUAAUUCCAGCU